rfam:Bacillus thermoamylovorans genome assembly, strain 1A1, contig: A1A_CC32
UCCGUGGUGACGCGGAAUCUGAAGGAAGCGAGCGGCAAACUUCCGGUCUGAGGAACACGAACUUCAUAUGAGGCUAGGUAUCACUGGGUGAGUUUGCAAGACAAAACAAAGCCCUUUCUGCCGAAGGUGAUACAGAGUAAAUGAAGCAGAUGGAUGGAAGGAAAGAUUACACUC